rnacentral:rRNA from 1 species
CACCGGCAGCUCGAGUGGUGGCCACUUUUAUUGGGUCUAAAGCGUCCGUAGCCGGCUUGGCAAGUCCCCUGGGAAAUCUGGCGGCUUAACCGUCAGGCGUCCAGAGGAUACUGCCAGGCUUGGGACCGGGAGAGGUGAGAGGUACCUCAGGGGUAGGGGUGAAAUCUUGUGAUCCCUGAGGGACCACCAGUGGCGAAGGCGUCUCACUAGAACGGGUCCGACGGUCAGGGACGAAAGCUGGGGGCACGAACCGG